GAGUGUUUUACCACCAGAAUUAUUUUUCAAUGGGAAAUAGAAGUAUAUGGCUUUGAUGGAACGAGUGCCUUCAAGCUCCAUUGGCAGGCACUGUUUGAAAACUAUUUGGGUGAUGUUUUAU